AAGAAAUCCAGAUUUGUCUGUGAUUUCUUUUGUUGUAUCUGUGGUACACAAUUAUUGUGGAAGUAUUGUUAGUAAUUCCUUGAUGUAUAAAAUACGGGACAUAGGAAUACGCCUUUUUCUAAUUUUGAAGCAAAAUUCAACAAUUACAAUCGACAGUUUUUUUUAGAAAUAUCCGUGCCAAAUUCCAAGGGUUGCUGUGAAUUUUGAAUUAAGAAAAAAGAAUGACACUUUAUCCAAUAUGGUAUCAAAGAAACGGAAUAUUUUACAGUCGUUACCCUGGUUUAUUUUCAAAAACGCCCACACUUUCAAGAAUGAGCCUUUUCAAAUCGAGGCUGAGACUUCUGAUAUCGAGACUUCAUCUCUCCUUGAAGAAACUAAAACUGUUCUUACCGGAAAUGAGCCUUUCUCUGGAAAGAUUGCACCGUUUGGUGUCGAGACCGCGUCUGGCCCCUCGUUUCAGGGUACACAUGGCGAGAGUGAAUCAUGCUCAAAUCAAAUUGGACAUAACUGUGUACAGACUAAAUUUUCUCGUGACGAAGCUGAACAAUUUUUUGCCGUACCCAAAACUGUGGAAAUCGGGACGGAAUCUUUGCCUUUCGAAACUGAAUUUUUGUCUUUCGAAGCUGAACUUUUGUCUAUCAAGAUUGGAUUUGUCUAUGACGAGGUUACAAGUUCUGCUAGAUAUUAUAUAGGUAAAAAAUUGCAUAUUGGUUCUAAAAGAAGCAUUCCUCGAAUUUUUAAAAUGGAAAGCCAUCACUUUCAACAGUUGGUAUCUUUGUUUCCAUUCUAUAGGGGAAAAAGCCCUUCUAUAAAUAGUCAGAUCUUAGAACGCUGUCUGGAUGAGAUGUUUCUCUUUGCAGUUUUCUUCACACAUUUAAUGUUCUUUAUAUUUAAAAAAAUUGAACAAAGAAACAUGAAAUGAAGAAUUAAAAAUGUGGAAUCGUAUUAUUUAACUACUUUGGAAACUAUUUGCAAGAUAAAUCUUCAGUUGCUUGCUUUAUAUUUCUACGAAGCAAGGGAGCUUCGUACAAGCAGUUAUAAAGGUGCACUUUGAGAUAAAAUUUGCAUGUGUUUUCAUAUGUUUUAAGAUUAUGAUGUUAUGAAAAAAUAUUUUCAUAAUAUCAUAAUCUUUAAAUUAUGAUAUUUAUUCUUGAAAAAAAAGAUUAUUUAUUGUAAAAUAUAUGUAAUCAAAUGCGCAUAUCUAUAUUUUCUAAAAGUAUAUCCGAGUUUACAUUCUGGGAUAGUAUAAGACUUAACGAGGAAUAUUAUGUGAUCCCAUCAGUUUGACUGAUUUUCAGUUUCAUGAGAUUUUUAAUUGUAAUAUUUGCAUAAAGAAUUAUCUCAUUAAUGUACAUAAUGCAUCGAUGGUUUCAUGAUUUUGUUGUGAUCCUGUACUUUUAUUAACUGAAAUUGUUUCCUUGAUAGGAAAAAAUUAUUAAUUAAAUUUUCCUCUGUUUCAUGUACAAACGCUAAACGCAUACACUAUUAUAAAUUCCGAACAAUUUUAAAAAUCAUUCAUUGAACCGACUAAAAAUAAAAAGCUUGGAAAGAAGAGGAAUUAAAUCGAUUCAUUCUGACUCGAAUGUUGAAUAAGUUUCUCAUAGUUUCUAGUUUAUACCGCUAGGUGAUUCUACAGUUGAUUGAAAAGUGCGGACAAAAUAUUUGCCAAAUUACAAGUGUUCGUUAUUUUUUUAUUCAUUAAGAAAUUUGUAAAUUCCUUGCAGACUAGAAAUAACUUUUUUUUAUAGCUAAGCAUUUUUGAUCUUAUUUUGUGAUAUCCUCGAAAAGAUUACACAAUGAUUCAAAAGUGUUGUUCUUUUCCUCAUAGCUUAGGUCUUGUGGGCUUUCAUUCCAAAAAAUGUUGUAUAUUUCAUUAAAAGAAAAGCUUCAUUAACUGUAGGAUCAUCUAAGAAAUUAAGUUGGAAACUAUAAAAUGAUCAAUUCUGUUUUUUUGACCAAAAAUUCGAUUUCAUUUCCCUUUUUUCUGAGUUUUGUAUCUUUAUAUGGUGUUGAAUUGGUGAUUUUUAGUUUAAGAUAAUACCUUGCCUUAAUAGCACAAAAUUCUACAAUAUAUUUACGUUAUCUUCACAAUAUUGCACUGCAAUUAGAAAAUCGAGUAUUGUUGUAUAUUUUGUACAAUGUCUUGUGCUAAAGGGAAUAUAUGAUUUUAGUAAGAAAUAUAAUCUCCACUUAGCAAUUACAGCUGCGAGCUUAUAAAUAAAAUAAUUUUGAAUAAUUUAAAGGAAUCGGUAUUUUAUCCACGAAAUUAGUAGAAUCCAGGAUCAUUUAAAAACUGAAAAAACAUUCAAAAUAAGUAGAAAUAAAUGUAAAAGGAGCUUGAUCUGCCAUCUGUCUGCUGAAUUAAGAACCAAACGAUGCAAACUUUAAAUAAAAUGAACUAAUACUAUCCCAGUGUAAAUUCGGUUUACAAGAUUGUCACAUUAAGAGUUUAUAGAACUAAUCGUUUUAAAUCGCGCCGACUUCCAAGAAGUCUGCUCAUUGGUCAAUUUUUCUGCAUUUAUUCUCAGGAAUGUUUCAUCAUAGAACGAUGGUAAUGCAUGCAUCUAUGUUUGUUAAUUUGAGAAUAUUAAUUAUGUAUCUUCAUGAACAAAUUUGGACGAGCGAUUAAAAAUGUAGUUUUAUAGUUUAAAGAAGCUCUUUAUUAUAUGUAACUUAUUUAUUUCAGUAAUUUAGUUUACUAAGUGAGUAAAUUUUAUAAGUUAUUCAAAUAUAUAUCUUUAUUAAAAUACAUUUUUCAGUUUACACAUUCAGGCAACUAUUGGGAAAAUUUAAAAAGUUGAGUUAUUUUAAAUAAAAUAACUCAACUUUAAUACUCGACUAUUACAAACUUAAAUAUUUCUGAGGUUUGAUGGCUUGCAAUAUCAUAUUUAUAUAAAACUAUAUACGAAUAGAAAAUACCAUAAUAAUACAUUCUCUUGAAUACCAUAAAAAUACAUUCUAUUAUAUGAUUUUCUUUAAAAUAGAAAAUGCAAUAAUCAUGUUUAAAAUCCCUCUCGUUGCUAUGUAUAUGUUGCUAUGCAAAUAUUUUUUAAACAAAUCUUGAUAUUCAAAUUAUUUUGGGGAAUAAUAUAUACUAAAAUUGGGGAAAUCAUUAGAAAAAAGAAUACGACUAUAAAUCCGAUUUUAUUUUGAAUAAUGCUAUAAAAAUACUUAUUUAGAAAGAAAAUAUCAAAAGUAUAUUAAAAAAAACUAAUAAAGGAGUCUUUGCAUGAAUAAGUUAUCAAAAGUGAAUUCCAAAGGAAUAACUGGUGUGUACAGAAUUUCUUGCUGUGUAUUCACCAUUACACAUGCAAAGCAGUUUUUUUUCAUAAGGAACAAAUUAAAUUCCUGAUAAUUCUGCUACUGUUAUAAAACUAAAAUUCGAUUGCACGCUCUCUUGGGCUCUGUCGAAGGAUUGCUUUAGAUUCAGAAAAUUCGGAACAGACUUUUAAUUUAAUUAGAUAGCCUCUUUACAAAACUUUUAAUUUAAUUAGACAUUAAUUUAUUCAGACUUGAAAGGAGCUUGGUAUAUCAUUGUGUCAUUUUUCCCAUUGUAAAAUUCAUACGAUUGAGUGUUAAAAUAGUUUAAUCAUUUUCACAAACUUUUUUGAUAGAAACGUACUUUUAGUGGAAUUAUCAAACUUGUUCCAAAUUCUUGCGUUUCCCACUGAAUAAUUCUGUAAACUUCUUCCAUUUCUUUAAAACAUUGGGUCAUUUUUUAUUAAAUACCAUAAGUUGAUUGAAAUGAUAAAAGCAAAAUCUAUAGCAAUUGCAUAAGACAUUGAGAAAUAUUUUCUUUUGUGAUCAGAAUCAGUAUUCCUGAAAUUUCGGUUCCGAUUAAAGAUUAAAAUCGGAUUAAAGAUGAUACUAUAUCGUUCUCUAAAUCCUCAGACUGAAUUCACUGCAUUUAACUGAAUGAAACAGUUUCAAUUCGUUUGUGUAACUAAUGCUUCAUUUCCCUGAUAAUUUAUUAUUAUGUUUUGAAUCUUAUGGGACAAUCUUUAUCGCAUUAUAUCCCUAUUUUUAUUAUUUUCUUAAA